UAGCACACGGAAAAUUAUGGCUCCCAUUAGUAGUAGUGUGAAAUUGUUGGAAAUAUGACGAAAUUAUUGCAACGCAUUUUAGUUAUAUUUCUACUUUCCGCUGCUGUUAAUGGCGUUACAGCGAAAGUCGAAAAUUUGGAAUACAAUCAUUUGAAAGACUACAAAACAGUUGACGAUGACGCUGUACAAAUUCCUGUCAAAAAUGACGUAGAAAAUGGAGUAUCCAACGUGAAAAAUCAGGGCAAAAACGAAGAUGGAACACUAUUAUUAUUAAAUACGUUGAGAAGUAGAAUGGAAGCCAAUAACUACGACGAAAAAAUGAAGGGCCAUGCGUUGAUAUAUGAUAGAGAAAGCGGCCGUCCCGUAGGAAGAAUUAGGUUUUCAUCAAUCAUGGGUUUCGUAAAAACAAUGACAAACUUAUUCCAUAUAACCAAAGACGCAAUACAUAAAAAACGUCAAGGCUAAUAUAGCUAUCCCUGAUCAACAAAAAACUGCUGCUUAGUAAUUUGCGUUCCACUAUCAACGACAGGACCUUUCAAUCCAUGCCCAACAAAAAGGGAGAAAAGAAAUAAAUUGAAAGAAUAAACAAAUUAUGUAAAAA